rnacentral:rRNA from 1 species
GACGAACGCUGGCGGCGUGCUUAACACAUGCAAGUCGAACGGAAAGGCCCUGCUUUUGUGGGGUGCUAGAGUGGCGAACGGGUGAGUAACACGUGAGUAACCUGCCCUUGACUUUGGGAUAACUUCAGGAAACUGGGGCUAAUACCGGAGAGGAGCUCCUGCUGCAUGGUGGGGGUUGGAAAGUUUCGGCGGUUGGGGAUGGACUCGCGGCUUAUCAGCUUGUUGGUGGGGGAGUGGCUUACCAAGGCUUUGACGGGUAGCCGGCCUGAGAGGGUGAACGGCCACAUUGGGACUGAGAUACGGCCCAGACUCCUACGGGAGGCAGCAGUGGGGAAUAUUGCACAAUGGGCGGAAGCCUGAUGCAGCAACGCCGGGAGCGUGAUGACGGCCUUCGGGUUGUAAACCGCAUUCGCCUGUGGCGAAGCGUGAGUGACGGUAAUGGGUAAAGAAGCACCGGCUAACUACGUG